UACUAUUUUGGCAGAAAAUUGCAUUGGUUUUAGAAAUCAUAUAUAUAUAUAUAUAAUUAUAUAAAUAGUAU
rnacentral:tRNA from 1 species